GGGCGCGUAGCUCAGUUGGUUAGAGCGUCUCGUUUACACCGAGAAGGUCCCCUGUUCGAGUCAGGGCGCGCCCA
rnacentral:tRNA from 2 species